GACGUAGGGUGCAAGCGUUGUCCGGAAUUAUUGGGCGUAAAGAGCUUGUAGGCGGUUUGUCGCGUCUGCUGUGAAAUUUCGGGGCUCAACCCCGAACUUGCAGUGGGUACGGGCAGACUAGAGUGUGGUAGGGGAGACUGGAAUUCCUGGUGUAGCGGUGGAAUGCGCAGAUAUCAGGAGGAACACCGGUGGCGAAGGCGGGGUCCUGGGCCAGUACUGACGCUGAGGAGCGAAAGCGUGGGGAGCAAACAGG
rnacentral:rRNA from 1 species